AAUCAACGCUGGCGGCGCGCUUAACACAUGCAAGUCGCACGAGAAAGGGAGCAAUCCUGAGUAAAGUGGCGUCCGGGUGAGUAACACGUGGGAAUCUACCUCUUGGCGGGGAAUAACCCUGGGAAACCGGGGCUAAUACCGCAUAAGCUCGUGAGAGGAAAGCAGCAAUGCACCGAGAGAGGAGCCCGCGGCCGAUUAGCUAGUUGGUGGGGUAAUGGCUCACCAAGGCGAAGAUCGGUAGCCGGCCUGAGAGGGCACACGGCCACACUGGCACUGAAACACGGGCCAGACUCCUACGGGAGGCAGCAGUGGGGAAUCUUGCACAAUGGGGGAAACCCUGAUGCAGCGACGCCGCGUGAGCGAUGAAGCCCUUCGGGGGGUAAAGCUCUUUCGACAGGAACGAUAAUGACGGUACCUGGAGAAGAAGCUGCGGCUAACUACGU
rnacentral:rRNA from 1 species